GUGCUUACUUCGGCAGGACAUACACUAAAAUUGGAAUGAUACAGAGAAGAUUAGCAUGGCCCCUGCACAAGGAUGAGUGCAAAUUCAUGAAGUGUUCCAUAUUAAA
ensembl:snRNA U6 U6 spliceosomal RNA